rnacentral:rRNA from 1 species
CCUACGGGGGGCAGCAGUGGGGAAUAUUGCACAAUGGGGGAAACCCUGAUGCAGCGACGCCGCGUGGGUGACGAAGUAUUUCGGUAUGUAAAGCCCUAUCAGCAGGGAAGAAGAUGACAGUACCUGACUAAGAAGCCCCGGCUAACUACGUGCCAGCAGCCGCGGUAAUACGUAGGGGGCAAGCGUUAUCCGGAUUUACUGGGUGUAAAGGGAGCGUAGGUGGCAUGGCAAGCCAGAAGUGAAAACCCGGGGCUUAACCCCGCGGAUUGCUUUUGGAACUGUCAGGCUGGAGUGCAGGAGGGGCG